UAGGGAAUAUUGCGCAAUGGGGGAAACCCUGACGCAGCGAUGCCGCGUGAGUGAAGAAGGCCUUAGGGUUGUAAAACUCCUUCAGUGGUGAAGAUAAUGACGGUAACCACAGAAGAAGCUCCGGCUAACUCCGUGCCAGCAGCCGCGGUAAUACGGAGGGGGCUAACGUAGUUCGGAAUUACUGGGCGUAAAGCGCGCGUAGGCGGAUUAGACAGUUGAGGGUGAAAUCCCGGAGCUUAACUUCGGAACUGCCCCCAAUACUACUAAUCUAGAGUUCGGAAGAGGUUGAGUGGAAUUCCUAGUGUAGAGGUGAAAUUCGUAGAUAUUAGGAAGAACACCAGAGGCGAAGGCGGCUCACUGGUCCGAUACUGACGCUAAGGUGCGAAAGCGUGGGUAGCAAACAGGAUUAGAUACCCUGGUAGUCCACGCCGUAAACGAUGGAGCUAGUUGUUGGACGGUUUACUGUUCAGUGACACAGCUAACGCAUUAAGCUUCCCGCCUGGGGAGUACGAUCGCAAGAUUA
rnacentral:rRNA from 1 species